rnacentral:rRNA from 1 species
UACGAAGGGGGCUAGCGUUGCUCGGAAUCACUGGGCGUAAAGGGUGCGUAGGCGGGUCUUUAAGUCAGGGGUGAGAUCCUGGAGCUCAACUCCAGAACUGCCUUUGAUACUGAGGAUCUUGAGUUCGGGAGAGGUGAGUGGAACUGCGAGUGUAGAGGUGAAAUUCGUAGAUAUUAGGAAGAACACCAGUGGCGAAGGCGGCUCACUGGUCCGGUACUGACGCUGAGGUGCGAAAGCGUGGGGAGCAAACAGG